rnacentral:misc_RNA from 1 species
GAUGAAGAACGCAGCGAAAUGCGAUAAGUAAUGUGAAUUGCAGAAUUCAGUGAAUCAUCGAAUCUUUGAACGCACAUUGCGCCCGUCAGUAUUCUGGCGGGCAUGCCUGUUCGAGCGUCAUUACGCCCCUCAAGUCCCCUGUGGACUUGGUGUUGGGGAUCGGCGAGGCUGGUUUUCCAGCACAGCCGUCCCUUAAAUUAAUUGGCGGUCUCGCCGUGGCCUUCCUCUGCGCAGUAGUAAAACACUCGCAACAGGAGCCCGGCGCGGUCCACUGCCGUAAAACCCCCCAACUUUUUAUAGUUGACCUCGAAUCAGGUAGGACUACCCGCUGAACUUAAGCAUAUCAAUAAGCGGAGGA